rnacentral:lncRNA from 1 species
AGUACUUAGGCGUUGAGUGGGGGAACCAUACACCCUUAUACCAUUCACACACCGGAUUAGUGUCUCGUAUCGUAUACCAAGUGUCCUUUGAAAUGAACGUUCCCUUGAAAGAGCCAUUGUUCCUUUUCCAUAGUGAAAUAUCCUUACCCGCUAGAGAAUGUGAUCGGAGGGAAUCCAAAUCAUCCUCAACUCGGUUUAGCAUUUCAUUUCGGUGUCUGCGUCGGCGGUGAUUUGAGAGGGCUGCAGCAACUGAGCAGUUCGUGGCAAUACCCAUAUCGAUAC